rnacentral:rRNA from 1 species
CGGGAAACACAGUCAGGGGCUGCAAACCCUGUGCGGAGUUACAAAUCCGGCCCUAACCGAACAGACUGGAAAGUCUGGCCGUAGAAGGUGAAAGCCCUGUACGUGAAAGGGUUUCGGACUCCGGUGUCUCUCCCAAGUACUGUCAGAUAGGAGGAACCUGGCAGGAAUUUAGGGAACCCACUCUCUAAGGCUAAGUAUUCCUAAGUGACCGAUAGUGCACCAGUACCGUAAGGGAAAGUUGGAAAGAUCCCCGGGAGGGGAGGAAUUGAUCCUGAAACCGCAUGCCUACAAGCGGUCGGAGCUCUAUACCCGUAUGGGCAAGAGUGACGGCGUGCCUUUUGCAUAAUGAUCCGGCGAGUUACGUUGUGUUGCAAGGUUAAGCGUCUCUGGCGCGAAGCCGAAGCGAAAGCGAGUGCGAAACGUGCGUUACUAGUAACAUGGCGUAGACCCGAAACCGGAGGAUCUAUCCAUGGGCAGGGUGAAGUGGUCUUAAUCGACCAUGGAGGCCCGAACCGUUCAGUGUUGAAAAACUGUCGGAUGACCUGUGGAUAGGAGUGAAAAGCUAACCGACUUCGGAGAUAGCUGGUUCUCCGCGAAAAAACUUUAGGGUUUGCCUCAAGUAAUAGUACAUGGGGGUAGAGAUACUGAGAAGAUUGGUGGGC